rnacentral:tRNA from 1 species
GGCGGUGGUCAAACGGUUAUCACCGUGGGCUCUGAACCCUUCAGUCCCGGGUUCGAGUCUCCUGCGCCGCCA